CCACCAUCCUAGAUAAACUAUUUUUCUAGAAAUAUAGCAUUCCGACUUACAAUCACAUUGUGGUCUUGUGAAAAGUAGUAGUAUCUCAUGAAUUCUCUAGGAUAUCCUAUAAAAUGAGCUAUUACAGAUCUAUCCUCUAGUUUAUCAGAUAUAUGUCUCUUAAGAUAACUUAGACUCAACUUUUUACCGAACCAUAUCUUAUACAGUGUGGUAGGAACGGACUUUGAUGGAACUCG
rnacentral:lncRNA from 1 species